rnacentral:SRP_RNA from 1 species
GCCGGGCGUGGUGGCUCACGCCUGUAAUCCCAGCACUGUGGGAGGCCAAGGCAGGUGGAUCACCUGAGGUCAGGAGUUCAAGACCAGCCUGGCCAACAUGGUGAAACCCUGUCUCUA